UCCUCGAUGGUCUAACGGUCAUGAUUUCCGCUUGUCAAUCCCCCCGGGAACAAGCGCGGGAGACCUGGGUUCGACUCCCAGUCGGGGAG
rnacentral:tRNA from 1 species